GCCUCUUUGUAGUUGUUUUGUGUCACUUUGUAGUUGUUGGGUCUUUGUAGUUGUUUUGUGUCUCUUUGUAGAUGUUUUGUGGGCCUUUGAAGUAGUUUUACGGGUCUUUGUAGUUGUUUUGUGUCUCUUUGAAGUAGUUUUGUGUCUCUUUGAAGUAGUUUUGUGUCUCUUUGUAGUAGUUUUGUGGCUCUUUGAAAGUAGUUUUGUGUCUCUUUGAAAGUAGUUUUGUGUCUCUUUGUAGUUGUUUUGUGUCUCUUUGUAGUAGUUUUGUGGGUCUUUGUAGUUGUUUUGUGGGUCUUUGUAGUUGUUUUGUGUCUCUUUGAAGUAGUUUUGUGGGUCUUUUUGUAGUUGUUUUGUGUCUCUUUGAAGUAGUUUUGUGGGUCUUUUGUAGUUGUUUUGUGUCUCUUUGAAGUAGUUUUGUGGGUCUUUGUAGUUGUUUUGUGUCUCUUUGAAGUAGUUUUGUGGGUCUUUGUAGUAGUUUUGUGGGUCUUUUGUAGUUGUUUUGUGUCUCUUUCAAGUUGUUCUGUGGGUCUUUGAAGUUGUUUUCCUGACUGGAGCUCUGUGUCCCGACGAAAACAUAAAUAUUGUUACGUAAUAUUUUCCUAAAUGUAUAAAGCCCAGUUUUCUGUGUUUUCCUGCUGACACUGCAGCUGUAGCAUGACGUACAACUAGUAGCAUGUAAUAUGUUCUCUCUCCACAUGGAGACCCGCUGUCGUCUCUCAGCACUUCCAGAGCAGAAUUCGCCCGGGUCUUCGUGGCCGCGUGCUGUCACUCAUCCCUCCGUCAGCUCCUCGUGGCCCAAAGAAAGCGGCUCAACACUCCGAUUGCUGUUUUGAUGGCG
ensembl:lncRNA